GACGAACGCUGGCGGCGUGCUUAACACAUGCAAGUCGAACGGGAAGGCCCCUUUUUUGUGGGUUGCGUGGGUAGCGGACGGGUGAGUAGCACGUGACUUACCUUUCCCUUACUUUUGGCUUAAUUAAACUAAGUGUAGGUCAUACAAGGAAGGCUUUCUUGCUUGUUGGUGGGGGGUGGCUAGGUUAGGCGGGUGGGGAGGGACUCGCGGUGUGUCUGCUUGUUGGUGGGGUAGUGGCUGAUCAAGGCUUUGACGGGUAGCCGGCCUGAGCGGGUGACCGGCCACAUGGGGACGGAGAUACGGCCCAGACUCCGACGGGAGGCAGCAGUGGGGAAUAUUGCACAAGGGGCGGAAGCCUGAGGCAGCAACGCCGCGUGCGGGAUGACGGCCUUCGGGUUGUAAACCGCUUUCGCCUGUGACGAAGCGUGAGUGACGGUAAUGGGUAAAGAAGCACCGGCUAACUACGUG
rnacentral:rRNA from 1 species